GCAAGUUAAAGAGUUGGGACCUGACAAGCCCGAAAUUCAACUAACCCAGGCAACGAAGGAGAAGUCAAAAGCAUACAACAGGACUUUUUGUCGGAGUUGGUUCCAGCGCAAGUCGUGGCUGACAGGCUGUGGAACAGCUAAUGCACUUUUUUGUUUCCCGUGCAUACUGUUCAAAAGUGACAAGUGUGAUUUGACGUGGACACAAUCUGGACAAACCGACUUAAAGCACCUCUCCGAACGAAUCAAGAAACAUGAAAGCUCACGAGUUCAUAUGGACAACAGUGUAAAGCUAGCUGUGCUAGGGAAAACUAGCAUAGCGGCGCAGCUAGAUGAUGGACAUCGGAUUGCUUUAAGAAGGCACAACGAAGAGGUAGAUAAAAACCGUCAUAUUUUAUCUAAAAUCAUCGAUUGUAUUAAGUUUUGUGGUGCUUUUGAGCUAGCAAUGCGGGGACAUGAUGAAAGUGAUUCCUCAGACAAUCCAGGGAUUUUUAGAGGUUUAGUCGACUUGAUGGCAUCAAUUGAUCACGACUUGAGGCAACACCUUGAAAAUGCUACUGUAUUUAAAGGCACCUCGAAAACAGUCCAGAACGAGAUCCUGGAUUGCAUGUUGGCAGUUCUGAGAGAAAGGAUCGUGGAAGAAGUAAAGGCAGCGAAGUUUUUAGCCAUUCAAGCUGAUGAAACCACUGACAUUUCUACACACUGUCAGUUAGUCAUGGUGCUAAGAUACAUUGACCAACGAAACCGUAUUCAAGAGCGUUUUUUUGAAUUCAUCAAGCUACCCAAUGCUUGUGCAGAUGCAAUAGCCAGUGCCUUAUCGGAGAGGCUGCGCUUCAUCCUCCCCCAGGGACAAGAGAGAAAGUUGAUCGCCCAGGCCUACGAUGGGGCCGCUGUAAUGAGGGGUACCACUGGAGGAGUGCAGCGUAAGAUACAGGACAUUUAUGCUAACGCUCACUACGUACAUUGUUAUGCCCAUCAGUUAAACCUGGUAAUGCAACAAGCAACCUCCCACAUCCCUCAAAUCAGUCACUUUUUUUCCGACAUAGCAGGAUUCGCUUCUUUUUUUACUAAAUCGAGCAAGAGGACUGCAGUGCUUGACGAGGUGGUGGCGCACCGACUUCCAAGUGCAUCGGCAACCCGUUGGAACUUCAACAGUCGUGCUGUGAAUACAGUGUAUGAACAUAAAGACGAUCUGGUGAGGUGUUUUCAGACCAUCCGUAACAGUGAAGGAUUUGAUGCCCCUACAAAGAGAGAUGCCGGUGGUUUCGUGAGAAUGCUGGAAGACGAAGCUUUCUGUUUUUUCCUGGCCUUGUUUCACAAGAUAAUGCCACAUGUAGACAUGCUGUAUAACCACCUACAGAAGAGAAACAUCGAUUCUGUCACCAUCGCAGGGAUCACCCAGACAUUCAUCAGCCGCAUGCAGGCUAUCAGGUAGGCAUAAAAGCAUAAAUAUGUAACCUAGAAUAAAUGUUAAUUAUCUAUGCAUAGAUUCUAUCAAAUUCUCUGCAUAUAUUCUGUGUUCUGUGACUUAAAUGUUUAAUGGAAUUCAGAUAAUUUUGAUUUAUAUCAGCCUUUGAAGUAAUUUUAUGAAAAAUAUUUGAUUAAGUAUAUUUGAUGAAGUAUAUUCCCAGUAAUGAUUUGAUGUAGCCUAUACCAUAGGCUAUUUCCUGAAAUUAUGGCCAGGGCCUUUAUUUACUUGCACUGGUUUUCCCCCAGCCAUUAAACCAGGUCCGGUUAUUAAUUAAAUCCGGUAAUUCCCGGUAAUUAGAACACAACCUUUGUUUGGUUUGUGUUUGGUUAAUAUAUCCCUAUUCAGUUUUCAGAAGCCAUUAAUGAAACUUAUGUAUUGGAUCAGGGAGGCACUUCCUAAUCUGGUUGUGGAUGAGGAGUACAGGGGACCUGUUCAAGACCCACCCACAAAGAGACGGAGAACAUUGGGGGAAGACAGGCAACACCAUUUGGCACUGGAGGUGUGCGACACCAUUAUGAGCCAUGCCAAGGAGAGGUUUUCUUUCACCAAGCACCUUGUCAGCGCCACUCUGUUGCAAGGAGACUUGUUCCAACAACACAGCAAAAAUUUUCCAGAUGCAGCACUACAAACCACAGUGGAAGCCUAUCCCUCAUUGGACAAAGCCAGACUUAAAACAGAACUGUCCCUGAUCUACGACAACGAGGAGUUUCAGAGUUGUAGUGGUGCGCUGGCGCUCUAUCAGGUUCUGAUGGAAAACAACCUUCAAGA